rnacentral:lncRNA from 1 species
UUCAACCAUGUAUUUUACUUUUAUCCGUGAAAACAGAAAGUGUAGAUUUUUUUUUUUUAUUAUUUAACUUUAUAAGAUCAUCUAUAAGACAAGCUAAUGGCAAUAGCAUAGCUAUUCCAUCAGUAGCUUUAUUUAAUAGGAAUGGUCAAUUAAAUAAUUUGAUAAAUUUGUGCAUUGACACCUUUAGGUACCGUUUGGUUCAGGUAUAAGCAAGAACUAGCUAUUACAGGGAUAGGUACAAGUAUGGGGAUAAGAAAAAUAAUGUUUGGAUGAAAAUUGGGUUGUUCCCGAGAAUAAAAACAAUUUUAAGUAGUUUUAUAUAGAAAAUGGAGGUGUUGGUGAGGAUAACCGAGAACUACUAUUAUCGGAUAAAAAAUUAGCGUUUGGAUAUAAAGUGGGGGAUAAAGGCCUAUUCCUAUUCCUAUUCCCUAACCAAACGCUGCCUUAGUUUUUGAAAAAAAAAAUUUAUUUAAAAUAUUCUUUAUAUAUUUCAUAUUUUGAUUAGUAAAC